AGCCCUGUAGUGAACACUCAAGGUCUGCAUCUACACUACCUUACUGCUCUCACCCCAGACUCCUUCCUUCCAGACUCCUCCUCCCUUACCUCAGAGAGGAGAACUACUGGCUUCUCUUUGUUGCCAGCCUCCUGGCUUUAUAGAAACCACACCAGUUCCCUCACAGCUGUCUAGAUCACAAAGGAUAGAACCACCUUAGCUAAUGAGGAUGAAAGGCAGAAAAUAAAUCUGUCAGACCUGAUUGACUGAUCUCCUGAACUACUGUGUGACGUUGCCUCAUUACAAUGAUGACAAACAGUUGUUGUUUUGGCAUUCUAUGAUGUACCCAUACAUUUGCAAAGUUUCACAUUUAUCCUAUUUUGCAAGCGCAUCUACAUAAUUCAUUAA